rnacentral:rRNA from 1 species
UGGUUGAUCCUGCCAGUAGUCAUAUGUUUGUCUCAAAGAUUAAGCCAUGCAUGUCUAAGCACAUGCCUUAAUACGGUGAAGCCGCGAAUAGCUCAUUACAACAGCCAUCGUUUAUUAGAAUAUCGUUAUCCUACUUGGAUAACUGUGGCAAUUCUAGAGCUAAUACAUGCAAUAAAGCUCCGCCCGCAAGGAACGAGCGCAUUUAUUAGAAUAAAAACCAAUCGAGUUUCGACUCGUAAUUUGGUGAAUCUGAAUAACUUUGCCAAUCGCACAGUCCUAGUACUGGCGAUGUAUCUUUCAAGUGUCUGCCUUAUCAACUUUCGAUGGUACGCUAUACGCCUACCAUGGUAGUAACGGGUAACGGAGAAUAAGGGUUCGACUCCGGAGAGGGAGCCUGAGAAACGGCUACCACAUCCAAGGAAGGCAGCAGGCGCACAAAUUACCCACUUCCAGAACGGAGAGGUAGUGACGAAAAAUAACGAGACAGUCCUCUUCGAGGUCUGUCAUCGGAAUGGGUACAAUUUAAAUCCUUUAACGAGGAUCUAUUGGAGGGCAAGUCUGGU